CACCACGUAUGAAUCUGGAAAAUGCUAGCUGUAUCUGUUCCUUUUUGAAAAGUAAAGGGACACUAUAGGGAGCCAGACCACUUCGUCUCAUUGAAGAGGUCUGGGUGCAGUGUCCCAAUCUCUUUAGAUUUACAGAGUUUUAGAGAAACUGCAAUGUUUAUAUUGCAGUGUUAAGACCAGACAGUAAAGGAACCUCCUGCUGUUUCACGCAGUUUAACUUUGUGAAAUGAUGCUGGGCAUUCUCACACUUUGCAUGAGGAUGUCCAGUAUUUUCAAAUCUCCCAUAGGAAAGGCCCAAUGCAUGUGCUGGAAUCGGGUAAGUGUUUAAAGGGUUGCUAACCCUUUAAUUGCCACAUGAGUGGGGGUGGGGUCAGAGGAUAAUAUAGUGUUAGGAAGACUAUGGACCUUAUCCCUGAAAGGGGCUAUGAUGGUAGCAAUUAAAAAGCAAACUAUUCAUUGUUACUUGAUAACUCUGCAGCGCCCUCUGCUGACUGAAUGGAAGUGUGUACAUUUACAUAAUGCUGGUAUGCUAAUU